CCAGCUCCAAUAGCGUAUAUUAAAGUUGUUGCAGUUAAAAAGCUCGUAGUUGAAUUUCUGGCCAGUCUUAUGCUGCGCUAUAUGCCGGUAUAAUGGUUUGGUCAUCCGUAGGGGAAACUAGUUCGGUCUUCACUGGUCGGCUAGCGGAACCUACAAUUUACUGUGAAAAAAUUAGAGUGUUUCAGGCAGGCAAUCGCUUGGAUACUCCAGCAUGGAAUAAUGGAAUAGGACUUUGGUCUAUUUGUUGGUUUGAGAUCAAAGUAAUGAUUAAUAGGGACAGUUGGGGGCAUUCGUAUUUAAUUGUUAGAGGUGAAAUUCUUGGAUUUAUUAAAGACGAACUUAUGCGAAAGCAUUUGCCAAGGAUGUUUUCA
rnacentral:rRNA from 1 species